GACGAACGCUGGCGGCGUGCUUAACACAUGCAAGUCGAACGGAAAGGCCCUGCUUUUGUGGGGUGCUCGAGUGGCGAACGGGUGAGUAACACGUGAGUAACCUGCCCUUGACUUUGGGAUAACUUCAGGAAACUGGGGCUAAUACCGGAUAGGAGCUCCUGCUGCAUGGUGGGGGUUGGAAAGUUUCGGCGGUUGGGGAUGGACUCGCGGCUUAUCAGCUUGUUGGUGGGGUAGUGGCUUACCAAGGCUUUGACGGGUAGCCGGCCUGAGAGGGUGACCGGCCACAUUGGGACUGAGAUACGGCCAAGACUCCUACGGGAGGCAGCAGUGGGGAAUAUUGCACAAUGGGCGGAAGCCUGAUGCAGCAACGCCGCGUGCGGGAUGACGGCCUUCGGGUUGUAAACCGCGUUCGCCUGUGACGAAGCGUGAGUGACGGUAAUGGGUAAAGAAGCACCGGCUAACUACGUG
rnacentral:rRNA from 1 species